AAGUCAGCUCGUGUCAGGGUAUUUGUAAUCUAACAUUUCUUGAAGGUUCACUUGGUAGUUCUAGUGCCCUCCUUUCAUUUGUAUUUGUAAGGAUGUUCAUCACAAUGUUUCCUGUAUUAAAACCAAAGAAAGAUGAUUUCACUCACAUGUGAAAUUUAGAAAAUGAAACGGAUGAACAUAGUGGAAGGGAAAGAGAAAGAGAAGUCAUAAGAGACUUAAUGAUAGAGAACAGACUGAGGGCAGUUGGAGGCAGGUGGGCAGGUGAUGGGCUAGAUGGGUGAUGGGCUAGAUGGGUGAUUGGGUGAUGGGCUAGAUGAGUGAUGGGCAUUAGGGAGGGUGCUUGUUGUGAUGAGCACUGGGUGUUGUAUGCGAGGGAUGAAUCACUGAAUUCUACCUCUGAAACCAGUGUCACACUAUGUUCAGUAAUUAGAAUUUAAUUUUUUUCCAGCUUUUUUUUUUAUUGGUGUUCAAUUUACCAACAUACAGAAUAACCCCCAGUGCCCGUCACCCAAUCACUCCCACCCCCCGCCCUCCUCCCCUUCUAUCACCCCCAGUUCAUUUCCCAGAGUUAGCAGUCUUUACGUUCUGUCUCCCUUUCUGAUAUUUCCCACACAUUUCUUCUCCCUUCCCUUAUAUUCCCUUUCACUAUUAUUUAUAUUCCCCAAAUGAACGAGAACAUACACUGUUUGUCCUUCUCCGACUGACUUACUUCACUUACCAUAAUACCCUCCAGUUCCAUCCACGUUGAAGCAAAUGGUGGGUAUUUGUUGUUUCUAAUGGCUGAGGAAUAUUCCAUUGUAUACAUAGACCACAUCUUCUUUAUCCAUUCAUCUUUUGAUGGACACCGAGACUCCUUCCACAGUUUGGCUAUUGUGGACAUUGCUGCUAGAAACAUCGGGGUGCAGGUGUCCCGGCGUUUCAUUGCAUCUGUAUCUUUGGGGUAAAUCCCCAACAGUGCAAUUGCUGGGUCGUAGGGCAGGUCUAUUUUUAACUCUUUGAGGAACCUCCACACAGUUUUCCAGAGUGGCUGCACCAGUUCACAUUCCCCCCAACAGUGUAAGAGGGUUCCCUUUUCUCCGCAUCCUCUCCAACAUUUGUUUCCUGCCUUGUUAAUUAGAAUUUAAAUAAAAACUUGGAACAAACAAAAAAACUGAUAAAAAUACAGAGAUCUGUUCUGAGUUGUUUCAGUAUUUGUAUUUUCAAACUGAUGAAGGUGAAGAAGCCUUAUUAUUUUUGAUUUUGUAGAAGCCAAGGGAAAAGGAAUUAAAGUUCAGGGGCUGUAGAUGUGAGCCACAGUGGGACUGCAGAAAGGAGUUUGUGGAAUUGGCGUUCUGAUACUAAUGAUCUUCCUUUCUAUUCAGAAGAACCCAAACAAAUAAAAAAGUAAAAACAAAAAUUACCAAGAAAAGUAAUGGGGGUGGAUGGCUGGCUCAGGCCGUGGAGGCUGUGGCUCUUGAUCUCUGGGUCGUGAGUUUGAGCCCCAUGUUGGGUACAGAGAUGACUUUAAAGGUAAAAUUUCUUAGAAAGGGAAGUAAUAAGGAGAUGUAGAGUCAAAUCAGAAGUCAUUUAAUAUAUAAAAAUGCAGCACUUACUGUGAAGCCCAAUGUUUUAUUUGCCUUCGGAAUGAUCCUUGGAUAUUGAGAAGAUUCCUGUUUCAUGGGGCUUCAUUUUGAUAUUCUAGAGAGUAGAAUUUUAUCUGAUACUUUACUGCCUAGUUUUGUAAUUGGGCUAUUUCACAAAAGGGCCAUCAGCCUUUUAUUGGUAUGAGAAAUUCUGUUUACUUUUAAGUUAAAUUCACAGUGUCCUUUCUCUGUGAAAAAAAUGAUGCUUCCUAGUUACACAGAAAUGACAGGGUUUAUUUAUCUCAAGAUUUUCCUACCUGUAUUGGCGCUCUCUGGAUUACACUGACAUUAAUAAUUGUGACCUGCUGUUUUAUGGAGUGGUGUGGUUCUGGAGGCAGCUGGUGUGUUUGUCACUGACAUACCGGAGAAAUCUUGUUCUUCUUUUAUUGUUUUGUGGCUGAUAAGGCUGAGCACAGGUGUAAAUAUUACUUUUGAGGUGAAAUAUCAGAGUUCUUGUUCCACCCUCAUUAAUCAUGGGCACACACAGCACACAAAGUUUUUUCAUCAGCAUACAUAAUACUUCUUGGUUAGUCAAAUUGUGUGAUUUUUAAAAAAUUGACUAGAGCUAAAGACCUUUUAUAAACUAGAGGCCAGCUAAGAAUACAGACAAAAAAGUUCAUCAUAAAUUAGGUUCUGGGCCUGUGCCCAUGUACAAUGACACAUAUUUAGUCUUGAAAACUCAUUUUGCAAGUCUGGGCAGGAUUUGGAAUUUUCAACUACGCAUUUUUCAUCAUUGUUACAGUAUUUUAUUGGUAAGACUGGGCAGGAAAACAAAAGCCUCUUCAUAAGAAAUAAGACAGAAAUAAGAAAUAAGCAGUUAUUUCUUCACAGAACUUUAACUUGCAACAGGUUGCUGAAUAUUUGAUUUUUGUCGUUUGGAAAGUCCUAUUGCUGUUUACUCCUCACAUAGACACUGUUGAUGUUUUGACUGCUGUAUAUUUUUUUUUCCUGGAAGCGAGGCGUAUGGCUCAGGUUUUUCUGGAAGUGAGGUGUAUCAUCUUAAUGAGCUCACUCUUAGUAAAAUACAUAUGUCGUGUAUGACAUUCUGAUUUCAUGCAAAGCUUAUACUCAUUAUGAAAAUAACUUGCAGAAAAUGUUUGUACCAUGACUGGGUUUUGGAACUAAACUCUUUGAAGGAAAAACAAGGCUGUAUGAUUUGCUAAUUUCAAGGGAGUGCUUUAAGGAAUAGUGUCAAAAUAUAGUGAAAACAGCUAUCGAAAUUUAUAUAUGGCAUUCAGGUAAAUAUGUUCAAGACCUUAUCUCAUUAGUUAAAAUAGUAAAAUUAGUAUUGAUAACUUAGAGAAAUACAGACAGCAGUUUUCUUUCUAGUUCAUGAGAUGGUAGAAAUUCAAAAGAAUAAUUUUGGGGAUUGUCAGUGGUAUUCCUGCUGUGAUAGUUUUAUACAUUUUGUGAAUAGUGGAAACCAUGUGCACUUGAAAGUUAUUUACCAUCAUUUUGUUUUAGAUUUGCAGAGUGAUUUAUAUAUAGUGAACUGAUAUGUAUCUUAAUAUCAUUUAUUAGAGAAUACAAUUCGUUAAAUGAGCAACUUUUUUCCAGAAUUAUAUUGUAUGUGAAACAAAUAGAAAACCUAAUGGUUAUAGUGAGUAGAAACAUAGUUUUCAUUUGGGUAAUUAUUUUAAGAUUUUGCAUUCUCUUUGUUGAAUCCACUGGAGGCAAAUUUGAAUUUUCUCUACAAAGUUAAAAUAUUUGGGUGAUGUAUGUUUUUAUCUUCUUUUUAUUGUUUUGGCUCUCAAGCCAAACCUGGGUUCCCUCUUAAUGUUGUACUUUGCAAUAUGUUAAUAACAUAGGUAAGUUGUUUGUUGUCUGACAACUACAAUUUUUUAAAUUGACAUAAAUUUUUUUUGUCAAUUUUUUUUGAAUGAUGAUAAAACAUGACAAGGUUGUUUGUAUACCAAAAGCUCACAAAAUAAAACUAUCUUUUCCCUAGAAAUUAAAACUAAUAGUGCUGACAACUGUUAGGUAAAGUUUUUAGUAUAUUUUAGAAAGAUCAUGAAUUUUAUGCCCAAACUCAGGUUUAAAAAUUCCGACUCUCACACGUGCUGGCUCUUUGCCUUUAAGUUUUAAAAUUGGCUCUAAGCCUCAGUUCCUCCAUCUCUGAAAUGGGCAUGCCACAUAAAUUACACAGCUGCUGUCUUAAUAUAUAGAGCUGAGUGCAUUAAUAUAUGUUAUGCACUUAGCACUGUCUCAGAAAAGAGAAAGAGAACAGAAAAUAAUAGCUCUUACUGUUUUUCUUCAGAGUUGCUUCUCUGUUCUUGUCCUUAAACAUUAGGAUCAUCUGAUCUAUUUUCUUUGUUGGCCCGGCCACCUUUCCUAGAUGUGACAACCAAAAACCAUUGGCCUUUGUAUUUAUAUUCAUUUCGGAAUAUCUUUACCAUCAAUGAUAUUUAAGUUUUAUUCUUUAAGUUUUUUAUUACAGGAAAUCCACGUCUCAUAUCCCUAUUAACUAUAGUAUCUGAUAUAUCAAAACAUCUUAUUCCCAUUUGGAUAAUGAAUUUACUAUGUGAAUAGCAUGCACUGGGCAAAUAUAAAAAUAUGAUGUGGCUAACCAUUAAGAUGACCACUUCAUUGCCUCUGUAUCUGCCUUUCUAUCAGAGGUGCCUUUUCUAGGGCUGAAUGGAUUUCAUUGCUAUAGAAAGAGCCUAAGUGCAUGGAGUAAAGGUUGACCCAAACAAUACAUGGAAUAUAGGUUUCUGUUUCCUCAGAUAAACUUUAGCAUGUCAGCGAUCAAGAGUUUUAUGGUAAGAUAUGGUCUUGGAUUUAUCCAUCAUGGUGUAGAUACAAAAAAUAGCCCAAUUAUUGUAUCUAUUGGCUACAUUGGCAGUGGAAUUGUGAGACUAUAUCAUGUUAAGAUUUGGGGAA
rnacentral:lncRNA from 1 species